rnacentral:lncRNA from 1 species
CUUUGUCACAGGAAGUGGAGAGAAUAUUGGAGAACUGUAUUUACAUCUAUAACAUUUUUAAACAAAAACCUGAUAACUAUUACACUGGGAUUUCAGGGGAUUACAGAAUGUUAUGGUGGAUACCUAGCUUGAUGACUGUCUUUGUAAGAACCUGGGCACAGGAGUAGGAGAAUAUCCAACGUUUAUCACUUGGGAGUAUAACUGGCUUCUGCUGCUGUAAAGAGGAUAAACAUCCUGGUGUCUCUGGUAGGGGCAGUUUCAGAUUUUAUUAUCCUGUGUUUGUAUUUUACAACUGACCAUUCUGCAAAAAACCUGCUUCAUGGAACAACCAAAGAACUGUAGCCUCCUACUCAAAUACUAACAGAGUUCUUAUUCUCAAGUAAUUUUGUACUGGAAUUAUCCACUUCUUUAUUAAUUUCUAUCAGUGGCAUUGGAUG